ensembl:rRNA 5S_rRNA 5S ribosomal RNA
UUUAGUCAUCCCUCCCUGAAUAUGCCUGAUUUCAUCUGAUUUCAGAAGCUAAGCAGGGUCAGCCCUGGUUAGAACCUGGAAGGGAGAAAGGAGCCAGAUUUAGUUUAUCAUUCUGGGUGGUACUAAUU